rnacentral:rRNA from 1 species
GAUGAACGCUGGCGGCGUGCCUAAUACAUGCAAGUCGAACGCUGAAGCUUGGUGCUUGCACCGAGCGGAUGAGUUGCGAACGGGUGAGUAACGCGUAGGUAACCUGCCUGGUAGCGGGGGAUAACUAUUGGAAACGAUAGCUAAUACCGCAUGACAACAGUUAUUGCAUGAUAACUGUUUAAAAGGGGCAAUUGCUCCACUACCAGAUGGACCUGCGUUGUAUUAGCUAGUUGGUGAGGUAACGGCUCACCAAGGCGACGAUACAUAGCCGACCUGAGAGGGUGAUCGGCCACACUGGGACUGAGACACGGCCCAGACUCCUACGGGAGGCAGCAGUAGGGAAUCUUCGGCAAUGGACGGAAGUCUGACCGAGCAACGCCGCGUGAGUGAAGAAGGUUUUCGGAUCGUAAAGCUCUGUUGUAAGAGAAGAACGAGUGUGAGAGUGGAAAGUUCACACUGUGACGGUAUCUUACCAGAAAGGGACGGCUAACUACGUG